rnacentral:rRNA from 1 species
AUUGAACGCUGGCGGCAGGCCUAACACAUGCAAGUCGAGCGCGCCGCGGACGUGUGUGUUAUGUCUGGGACACCGCCUGAUGGAGGGGGAUAUCUUCUGGAAACUGUAUCUUACACCGUAUACUCUCAGAUGCGCCCAUAUGGGAUUAGCUAGUAGGUGGGGUAAUGGCUCACCUAGGCGACGAUCUCUAGCUGGUCUGAGAGGAUGACCAGCCACACUGGAACUGAGACACGGUCCAGACGCCUACGGGAGGCAGCAGUGGGGAAUAUUGCACAAUGGGCGCAAGCCUGAUGCAGCCAUGCCGCGUGUGUGAAGAAGGCCUUCGGGUUGUAAAGCACUUUCAGCGGGGAGGCGUUACUCGCAGAAGAAGCACCGGCUAACUCCGUGCCAGCAGCCGCGGUAAUUC